rfam:Clostridium pasteurianum BC1, complete genome.
GGAAUCCUGUCUGAGCAAGGUCUAACCAACCAGCAGUAGCGAGUCUUGAGUUGUCAUCAGUAAUGAUGGGAGCUAAGCGUAGACAGCGAGAAAGUAGGGUUGAAAGCUAUUGAGCCUCGAAAUUUUGUAUAUCAGAGGGCUGACGUCUUAAUUGGUGCGGAAAGCAAAAUCACAUAGGUCGUAAUGGUAAGAACUAUGUGGCACUGCGGGGUCAAAGGGCC